UACGGAGGAUGCGAGCGUUAUCCGGAUUUAUUGGGUUUAAAGGGUGCGUAGGCGGAACAAUAAGUCAGUGGUGAAAUCUUGCGGCUCAACCGUAAAACUGCCAUUGAUACUGUUGUUCUUGAAUUUAGUUGAGGUAGGCGGAAUGUGUUGUGUAGCGGUGAAAUGCAUAGAUAUAACACAGAACACCGAUUGCGAAGGCAGCUUACUAAGCUAUAAUUGACGCUGAUGCACGAAAGCGUGGGUAGCGAACAGG
rnacentral:rRNA from 1 species